rnacentral:sRNA from 1 species
AGUUUUUGUUAGUGACAUUGAUGAGUUCCUCGUCACAUUGUCCUCUUCUGUAUGCCACAACUGCUAGGGUAGGAUCACGUUUCUCGCAGUACUUACCCACAACCUUAGAGUCGUAGUAAGGGUUGGUGGU